GCUUAACCGGAGAAGUGCAUCGGAAACCGGGAGACUUGAGUGCAGAAGAGGACAGUGGAACUCCAUGUGUAGCGGUGAAAUGCGUAGAUAUAUGGAAGAACACCAGUGGCGAAGGCGGCUGUCUGGUCUGUAACUGACGCUGAGGCUCGAAAGCAUGGGUAGCGAACAGGAUUAGAUACCCUGGUAGUCCAUGCCGUAAACGAUGAGUGCUAAGUGUUGGAGGGUUUCCGCCCUUCAGUGCUGCAGCUAACGCAUUAAGCACUCCGCCUGGGGAGUACGACCGCAAGGUUGAAACUCAAAGGAAUUGACGGGGGCCCGCACAAGCGGUGGAGCAUGUGGUUUAAUUCGAUGCUACGCGAAGAACCUUACCAGGUCUUGACAUCUUCUGCCAACCUAAGAGAUUAGGCGUUCCCUUCGGGGACAGAAUGACAGGUGGUGCAUGGUUGUCGUCAGCUCGUGUCGUGAGAUGUUGGGUUAAGUCCCGAACGAGCGCAACCCUUAUUGUUAGUUGCCAGCGUUCAGUUGGGCACUCUAGCAAGACUGCCGGUGACAAACCGGAGGAAGGUGGGGAUGACGUCAAAUCAUCAUGCCCCUUAUGACCUGGGCUACACACGUGCUACAAUGGACGGUACAACG
rnacentral:rRNA from 1 species